rnacentral:rRNA from 2 species
UACGGAGGGUACAAGCAUUAAUCGGAUUUACUGGGCGUAAAGGGUGCGUAGGCGGAUAGGAAAGUUAGAUGUGAAAUUCCAGUACUCAAUACUGGAGCUGCAUUUAAAACUCCCUUUCUCGAGGAUAGACGGAGAGAACGGAAUUCCAUGUGUAGCGGUGAAAUGCGUAGAUAUAUGGAAGAACACCUGUGGCGUAAGCGGUUCUCUAGUUUAUUUCUGACGCUGAGGCACGAGAGUGUGGGGAGCAAACAGG